rnacentral:rRNA from 1 species
GCGACAAGCGGUGGAGUAUGUGGUUAAUUCGAUGCAACGCGAAGAACCUACCUGGUCUUGACAUCCCGGAGACCCUUAGGAAACUAGGGGGUGCUUCCAUCUGGAAGAAUCUGGAGACAGGUGCUGCAUGGCUGUCGUCAGCUCGUGUCGUGAGAUGUUGGGUUAAGUCCCGCAACGAGCGCAACCCUUGCCUUUAGUUGCCAGCAGUUCGGCUGGGCACUCUAAAGGGACUGCCGGUGUUAAACCGGAGGAAGGUGGGGAUGACGUCAAGUCCUCAUGGCCUUUAUGACCAGGGCUACACACGUACUACAAUGGCCGAUACAAAGGGCAGCGACACUGCGAGGUGAAGCCAAUCCCGUAAAAUCGGUCUCAGUCCGGAUUGGAGUCUGCAACUCGACUCCAUGAAGUUGGAAUCGCUAGUAAUCGUGGAUCAGCAUGCCACGGUGAAUACGUUCCCGGGCCUU